UACGUAGGGGGCAAGCGUUGGUCCGGAUUUUAUUGGGCGUAAAGAGCGGUGUAGGCGCCAGGUAGGGUGGGUUGUGAAAACUGGAGGCUCAACCUUCAAGAGGGUCCGACCCCAAACCCCCUGGCUAGAGUCCGGAAGAGGAGAGUGGAAUUCCGUGGUGUAGCGGUGAAAUGCGCAGAUAUCAGGAAGAAACACCCGUGGCGAAGGCGGCUCUCUGGGAGCGGUACUGACGCUGAGACGCGAAAGCGUGGGGAGCGAACAGG
rnacentral:rRNA from 1 species